rnacentral:rRNA from 1 species
ACCCCUGUGAACAUACCACUUGUUGCCUCGGCGGAUCAGCCCGCUCCCGGUAAAACGGGACGGCCCGCCAGAGGACCCCUAAAACUCUGUUUCUAUAUGUAACUUCUGAGUAAAACCAUAAAUAAAUCAAAACUUUCAACAACGGAUCUCUUGGUUCUGGCAUCGAUGAAGAACGCAGCAAAAUGCGAUAAGUAAUGUGAAUUGCAGAAUUCAGUGAAUCAUCGAAUCUUUGAACGCACAUUGCGCCCGCCAGUAUUCUGGCGGGCAUGCCUGUUCGAGCGUCAUUUCAACCCUCAAGCACAGCUUGGUGUUGGGACUCGCGUUAAUUCGCGUUCCUCAAAUUGAUUGGCGGUCACGUCGAGCUUCCAUAGCGUAGUAGUAAAACCCUCGUUACUGGUAAUCGUCGCGGCCACGCCGUUAAACCCCAACUUCUGAAUGUUGACCUCGGAUCAGGUAGGAAUACCCGCUGAACUUAA